CACUUGUGCAAGAACAUGCCUAGCACCAUUUCAGUGGGCCUUGCUAGGUUUCUCCGUGUGGGGCAUGAGGAGGUGCGGACCAGGCACGCAGCCCAGCGUGGGACUUGUGCCCAAGGUGCUCCUGCUGCGCUGGGGACCGGGGCUUUGCCUUGGGAGCGGGCCCCCGACGAGGCUGGAGGCCAGGCAGCGCAGGGAGCUCACGACUUGCUGUCUUCAACUACAGCCAGUUGUGAAUGCCAAGAGCACACUGCUACCUCCCUGAUAAAUUCUUCUGUCUUCAGCAAAGGAGAAUGCAUAUAAAGCUUGUCAGAUCUGAGAAUGGAGACUGACAAGAAUUGUAAGCAAAAUACAAAACAAAAACCGGCAAGCAAAAAUAAUCAUCAUUCACAAUCUCCUAGACUAUCAGUUAAGAAUCUGAGUCUAUAAGUACAUUAUAUAUUUUCCUGCUUAGAAA